GGUACGCGAGCUGGGUUCAGAACGUCGUGAGACAGUUCGGUCCCUAUCUGCCGUGGGCGUAAGAAGAUUGAAGAGAUUUGACCCUAGUACGAGAGGACCGGGUUGAACAAACCACUGGUGUAGCUGUUGUUCUGCCAAGAGCAUCGCAGCGUAGCUAAGUUUGGAAAGGAUAAACGCUGAAAGCAUCUAAGCGUGAAGCCAACUCUAAGAUGAAUCUUCUCUAAGCUCUCUAGAAGACGACUAGUUUGAUAGGCUGGGUGUGUAAUAGAUGAAAGUCUUUUAGCUGACCAGUACUAAUAGAGCGUUUGGCUUAUCUUU
rnacentral:rRNA from 1 species